GUGCUCACUUCAGCAGCACAUAUACUAAAAUUGGAAAGAUAC
rnacentral:snRNA from 1 species